rnacentral:sRNA from 1 species
GAGAGAUCUCAAGCUUCAAACUACCAAAUAUACCUUUCAUUCUUCUCUAACCUUUCUACAACAAUCUGUUACUGCUCCAUUAGCAUGGUUAAUUUCAGCAUAACCAUUCUACUCUUUCUUCUUUUCUGCGUCCUCUUUCAGUUUCAACCUGCAACACUUGACGAAGUUGGCGUCCAAAAUGAUGCUCAAAAACCACUAUUUUCCAAGGUACUCAUGGAUACUGUGUCUCUGCUCAGAAAGUCCCACAAAAGCUCCUGGGACAAAAUCAAAACUGUCAUAAAAGAUCUGCAAAUGCAGUUUUCUCCACCAAGUUUGGAUUUCAGGAGUGGUGGGGGAAGGGUAGGAGUAGGAGAAGACCCCAAAGAAACUCUUAAAGAAGCAUUUAAGAAGAGUAUAGACAAAAGCAAAGAAACAUUUGAGGAAAGUGCUAAAUCAACGGGUAAAGCAGUUGAAACAGC